GAAAUGCGAUAAGUAAUGUGAAUUGCAGAAUUCAGUGAAUCAUCGAAUCUUUGAACGCACAUUGCGCCCGCCAGCAUUCUGGCGGGCAUGCCUGUUCGAGCGUCAUUUCAACCCUCGAGCCCCCCCGGGUGCCUCGGUGUUGGGGGACGGCACACCAGCCGCCCCCGAAAUGCAGUGGCGACCCCGCCGCAGCCUCCCCUGCGUAGUAGCACACACCUCGCACCGGAGCGCGGAGGCGGUCACGCCGUAAAACGCCCAACUUUCUUAGAGUUGACCUCGGAUCAGGUAGGAAUACCCGCUGAACUUAAGC
rnacentral:misc_RNA from 1 species